CACUGCACUAUAAGAAUAACACUCACAACACUGACAUAUCCCCUUCUACCUUUAAUCCCUAACAACAAAAAGGAUAAAUCAAUAAAAUCUUUAUAUACCUACAGAGAGAGAGAAAGUAACAUCCCCAAAGCAGAAUUUACGCAAAAAGGGAAACAUGCCAGAGACUCCAUGAUGUUCUCUCGUGACCUUGCUAUUGCUAUUGAUUCUAUGUAGAAGGCACUCAAAUGGUGGUGGCUGGCAACAUAAAAUGCUAAGAGAUAGAUAAAUGAUCCCUUUCCCCAGCCUUUAUAACUCAAACCCAACUUUUUGUAAAUAAAUAAAAAUAAAACUUGUUCCUGUGUUUUAUUCAUUCAAAUAUAAAUUUUAUAUAUAUAUAAUAAAUAAAAUGUCUAAAACCCCAUUCCAGUAUGUGGAGUCUUAAUGAGACCUAGCAACAUUGGGAGUGCUGAGAGCACUCGCCCUUCAGCCUCAUGCCUCCAAACGCGCUCGAGGCAUGCAUAUAUUUCAUUAUGACCGCACACUCUGUCAUGUGUUAUUCCUUACUUAUUGACAAUUUGUCACUGUCACCCUUGACAUGUCACUCCACCGCAGAAGAAUUGGACUUCAGUGUGAAAUGUGACAGUCAGAUGAGAGAAUUUUGUAAUCUGACCUGAAAUACUGGACUGAGAGAGACUAAUUUCAUUCGAACACAAAUCUAAUGUAACACAAAGGGGAGAGAUGUUUGCAUUUAUAAAGGGUUUUUUAGAGGGUUUUCUAAAAGAUUCUUCCCCCUAUCUAGUGUUUAUUCUUCAGCAUAAUGCUUUUAUUUUUUGAAGGAUAGAGCUUUGCAUUUUAAUACCAUGCAUUUUCAAUUAAGUGCACUAAGAUCCAUGGAUAUAACUAUUACUUAAACUGUAAGUAAUGGUUACAUGUAAAAAUUAGGAAACAUAUUGUGCUUUAUAUAAAUUACAUUCAAAUUACUUCUUAUUAUAAAUGGCGUAGAAAAUGGAUUUUUAGCUCUAGCUGGCCAAAGAGGCAACAUUUGUAUCUACUUCAUUUGUUUAAAUAUAUUUCAAGCCAGAUUGAAAUCCAUAUUGCCUGACGUUAAUUGAGUACUUGCAGCAUCAGUGUACUCAAGUUUCAUAAACCACUGAUGAGCAAGUUUUUACAGGCUCGAUUUAAAAAUAUACCAUCCCUUUUAUAUGAAAAUCAUAUUCUGUUUAUGGAGUAAUUCUUAAAACCCAUUAAAUGGUAUAAAACUUAAUAAUGAAAUUAAUGUAAAUAUAACAUUUGUACUGUUGAGCUGAUGUCUUGUUUGCUUAGAAAAUUAUAUUUUCCCCACUUGAUUUUUUUUCUAAAAAGAUCUUUCUAUACCAUAUUCUAAGCAAACAUUUUUUACUUCUCAAUAGGGAGAACUAGUAUCAGGAAUAAUCAGCUAUAAUAUUGAAGUUUUCCCAUACAGUCUGUCUGCGUACUUCAGUCUGGAUGUGAUAUUCCAGUCCUGGACCCAUCUUGAGCAGAGACUAUCAAUCAUAUCAAAUUAGCUAGUAGUUUACUAGCUUUGUGGUACUGACAAAUAAUUAUCCAGUCGUUUCACUAGUGAUCUAUAGAAAGCCAGGUCUGAACCUAAGUUCAGAGGUGAAAGGCCAGGGCAUUAACCCAUCUUUUCAUAACCAGAUAAUUCUGACAAAAACAGAGAAUUGAAAAUCGUUAAUUGGCCUAGAAAGCACUACAUUAAAGUUAACAUUCUGGCCUUAGUAACACUUGGAAGCAAAGAAUUUUCAAGGCCAUGAUUUUUACCCCAAGUCUCAUUUAAAUUUUCUAGCAUAAAAUAAAUAAAUUUAAAAAACAAACACAUCUCUCAGUCAAACAGCUUUUACUGGCUGAACUGAACUGAAUGUCUCAUGGCUUUCUGCAAGUCAUGUUCUAUUUGAGGAGACUGACUACAGUUAGGCUAAAGCAUUAUGAAGUAUCAUCUACACUGUGUCGUUGGUUUAUUGGACCAAUAAAAGGUGUUGCUUCACCCACCUUGUCUCUCUAAUAACCUGGGACCAACAAAGCUACAAUACCACUGCAUACAAGUUCUUCUAUAUGGCUUUUAACAGUACUAACAUAACUGUCCAGAUGUCAUACAAUGAACAUCAGAUAAUUUGUACACUUGAUUCUCCAUGCUGUAAUUUCUGAGGAGGGGAAUGGUGGCUUUGCACUGUACAAACCUUUUGCUGUUUUCUUAUUGUAUUUACUGAAUUUUAUUUAAAAUCUGUAAUGAUAAAAUUAUGUUUAAUAAUAAAAGCCCUUCUCUGAGGGAAAGCAGCAUAUGUCGAAUACCCAAGCCCUCUGAGAGGAAAUCUGCAUGAUUGGAUUCUUUGAUGCCGAAUUGUACCAUUAUUCUUUGAUGCCUCAUUAGCAGCUCCAUUGGGGUUUCAAGAGUCAGGAGGAGCAACUUUUUCUGUUUAUUGUUUGACUACAGGCAUUCCUAUUUAUUGUUUGUAUUACAGUAGCUCCCAGAUGAAGGAUGAGUCCAGUGGUUUGAAUGCUAGCCUAGGGCUUGGAAGAGCUACGUUCAAGUCCCUGCUUUGUCACAGACUUCCCAUAUGACCUUGGAAUUUCACUUCAGCUCCUGUCCUGGUGAGAUUAAACCCACUGACAUUGGUGCUGGCUUUCUUUGGGGGGAAAAUUAGCCUGCAGAACUGGCUAUAUAAAGAAACUUAUCACCAGGAAUCUAUGUGGUCUAGUGGUUAAAAUGGAGUUUGAGGAGACUGAGACUCUUGUGUCCCAUUCCCAGCUCUGCUACUGACUAUGGGUGCUGCUCACCCACUGCUGCUGUUGGGUACAAUUGGAUUUGCGAGUACUCAGAACUUCUGAAAAUCAAGCCCAAGAGAUGUCAAAGUGUUCACUUUUGGACCAAGUGACUUGUCCAAGUGCACGCAAGGAGUCUGUGGUCAUGCUGGGAAUUGAACCUAGAUCUUCCCAGUCAAAUACUUUGCUAGAAGGCAAUCUUUCCUACCAAGGCAGAGAAUGCCAAAUAGUGUAAUAAAAUGACUAUAUGCUUUGUGCGUGUGUAUAUGUUUGAUGGGAACAUCUAUAGGACAGGGUGCCAUAAAAGGGGAUUUUUUCCUUAAUAUUCAGGGCAGAUUGAUGGAGGGCUGAUGUCUUACCCUCAGUGACAGUAUGGGGUGGGAGGGGGAAGAGGCGAUCACACUAAUCUUGAAGUGUUUUUUUUUUUUUUUGGAGGUGGGGAAGGAAUCACAAAGGGAUGCUCUCUAACUAUGGUAGUGCAAAGGGGCUCAAGGUGUCCCCUUUGAAUAAGCUUUUCCUGGGGUGAGAGUGGUGUAAACAGUAAGAUGCCAUAUCUGGUGCUGUCCAUUUAAUAAAAGGAAAAAAGGGAUGUAGGAUUAGAAGGUUCUGAGGCUGUUGGGAGAACAGUCCUUCUAAGAUACCCUUAAGGUAUCUUGGGAAUCCAAACCUAAGACAGAAUAAAGAGAAAUGCUCUUCAGGACCUGGUUUCCCUAGAAAGUCCUAUGAGUAGGCAAAAGACUCUGAGCUAGGUUUGGUGUUGUCUCCUACGGCACAGCCCAGGAGGAGAGGAGGCAGUUUUACACCUUAUUUGUGCUGCCCAGAUUCUGGUUGGCUUCAGGGCCUGAAACGAGGCUGCUCUAUCUUGCAGUGACCUUACUUGAGCCCUGUGUGAACUGCUCUGCAGCUCAGAAUUCCCAGAGUGCCAAGAACAACAAACGCAUCUAUAUACUAGGAGCUGCGAAGGUGCAACAUUGGGCUGCUUACAUUGUCCCAGUCACUGGCUUACUCUCCCAUGUCUGUUGCUGCCUCCUUACAGCUCUGAUAUGCCACUGCAGUUGCAUAUAGGGUCAGGAGCCGGGGCCAGAAUGUGGUCCACUGAGUGUAGAGAAGUGCAAAUAUGUCACAGGAGCAUCUUCGGGGUCUGUCAGAGUUAGGAUUUAUCCUGGGGCAAGAUGUGAAAAGUCACAGGCAGAAACAGCUCUGAGUAAACCAGUUUGGCAUUACCUGAGCCAGCCAAUCAGAAAUCAAAUAAAUAAAAAUGCAGGACUGCCCCAAUCCCAAAAAAUGUACUCUCUUUAAAAAAUGAAAGUUGAGAUUCAACCCUAAUCACUUGCCUCCAGGGGCUGGAGCUUUAUAAAAAUAUCAAAUAUUGCAAGGCUUGCAAUAAAAUUGUGCAGAUUGUGAAUACUGAAAUGUAUACAAUGAAUGCCAAAAAAUAAUUGCUGGGAAUGCAACAUUAAAAACCAGAAUAAAAACCACCACCUCAGCUACAUUCCUCAAAACUCUGAGGGGCAACGGGAGAGUGAGACUCCUGUGUAGUGAUAUCUUCAAAGAAGCAGAAUUCUGGGUAAAUAAUUUCCCUCCUUUGAGCUACCAGAUACCAUCAUCACAGGAUUCCCACUUUUGGAGAGUAAGUAGCUUAAGGGAUAUCCUAAAAUAAGAAGUAAUGAGAGCUCAGAGUAAAGACAGUGGCAAACAUCAGUUAAAGUGCAGUUGAUGGAGGCAAGAAAGGUAAUUUCUACCCAAGCUGUUCAAUAUGUGAACGGAAUUUCAUUGUUUGACUCUUGUAUGUGUGGCUGUAGAACAUAUUAUAGCUGAGUAGAGCCAGCAUAUGAGAAAAUGGUAUCUAUUUAUUAGAGCUGAUAAGAAACGGAAUUUCUUUCCUGCAACAUCCAAAUUGGGAUAAAAGAAAUA